GGCCCGGAAUAGCAAAGGGUUGGGAAGUCCUGACCAAAGGCCAGCUCUGAGGAGGCUGUAAGAAGACCCCUGCCCCGCGUGCCCCGGCAGAACUGCCCUCAUCGGGCCCCUCCGGAGCCUGUUCAGAGCCUUUGCCCACGGCUCCGACCUUUGGAACAAAAUCAUAGAAACAGUGGAAAGAAAGUGACUAUAAUUAUCCAGUCAGUUUAAAGAAGCUUUUCUUGGCAACAGAAGAUAAAAUCAAGCACUGUAUCAAGUUAAAUGCAAAGCACGCUACAAAGCUUAUCUGUUUUCUCUUGAAGAAAGCUUUGUGAGAGUAACCAUGAGCUUGGGGCUGAAACACCCAAUGCUGUGGAAGUUGCACCCGUCAGCACCUGCUGAGGGCUUCGUUGAUCAAAAAAAUCAGGGCACCCUUUCAGAUAGGAACAUGGACCUUAUUGGCAUCAUCUUGUAUCCAUGGAAACAUUUUAAGUACCGCUCUCUCAAUAUGUACUUCAGUUAUUCAGGGUUCAAGAGCUGAGUACCAAAUAAUUAAGU